rnacentral:miRNA from 1 species
UGUUUGAAUUAGCUGUGAUGUG